AACGCACCACAAAUUUAUGGUCCAUGCAAAGCUGGUUUGAAUGACAACCCACCGCACUUUGCGGCGCCAGUGGUUCAGCGGGUGAGCAUGGCGGCUGCCUGCAAGGAGAUGCAAACCCAUGAUGUCAACAUAUGCAUUCAGAUUCCAUCCAGUUUAUAUGGGAAAUAGAGAUGAAGGAACCUCUGAGGGUUUGAGGAUCCAGAGACGUGGAACUGAGUGAAAACAUCAACAUGUCAUUAGAAAGAAGCCAACACCUGUUCAACCUACGGAUGGAUCUGCUGAUGCCAACGUGAAGCUGUUCCGACAAAACUGAAAAGAAAAUAAAAAUCCCUGUGCUGUA